rnacentral:lncRNA from 1 species
AUCCAUUCCUUUUGCUCCAAGCAUAUGCUAUCCAUUCCAUGCCCAAAAAUGCUCCAAAAUGCUCCAAAAUGCACUUCUUUGCCACAUUAACCCUUUGGACCUACAAACACACGAAAAUGGCUUAAAAUACUAAAAUAACUGCGAACUAACAACAUAAAUGCCAAGAAACAAGCUAACUAAGUCGCAUAAAUAUGCUCCUAUCAAUAACUCAUAUAUUUUAUACAUUUAUACCAUCCAUUCCUAGUCUCUUUGUGAUAUUUUUGAGUUAAACUGGUUGCGUUUUACUCUGUUUUGUAUUAAUGUGCAGUUAAUUGUAUUUUAGAGCCAUUUGAGGGUAAAUAAGGUAAAAUGGUGUUGAAAGUGAAGAAUUGAAUAAGGAUUCUGAUGUAGAGAGAGAUUCAAAGUGUACAAUUGAAUAUGGAGAUGAAUAUGGCCCUUUUAAGAAACCAAUAAUAGCAAAAAACGUGGGAAUUAAAUGCCCAAUUACUGGAAUGUAUUGGCAAUUUGUAACAGCCUCUUUAACAUUAUAAAACAGAGUGUUUCAGCCACUUUUACUCCAGCUUCCCCUUGGGGUCACCCAGAGCUCUUUCUCUUUUCUUUCUUUAGCCUUUCUUCCCGAAACAAAACCAUAUUUCUCAUCACCUGUUCUUGGAGAAGUUCAACAUCAGAAUUGCUUCAAGGGCGUUUCUUCUAUGAAAUUUAAUUUCACUCAUAUUGAUCUUGAAAUUUAUAUAUUCUGUAAUCAUGUUGUGUAAUUAAAUUCAUAUCUGAGAAUUUUGAUGUAGCCUUGCAAACCUAAUAUAUGUUAUUAAUUUAAAGUAUUGAAAUUACCAAUUUGUGUUCUUGUUUCAUUCACUGGUUUUAUAGUAUAAUUUGUUUGUUAAUCUUAAUGUUUGAUCACCAUUAGGGUUUCUUAUGAAUUAUUUGAUCAAGGUUAUAGUACACAUCAUGCUUAAUCUUGGUGGACAUGUGAAUGAAUGAAGAAACUGCUAUGCAUACAUCCUGCCAUGUGAUUUCUUUGGUUCUUCGAAGUUUUCUUGUUCUUAAUGGAUUCUUAUUUGGUAAUCUCUAAGUUGAACAUCAUAACUAGGUUGCAGAUUAGGAGUACUUGAUCACAACCACACAUCAAAUGGAUGAUCAUAAAUAAGUAAAACGAACCCUAGUUGCAGAUUCAAGAUGAAUACGUUUUGACUUAAUUUUCAUUAAAUUGGUUUGUAAUGGUGAAAUUGAUAUUCCUAGUUCCAUUUCCAUCGUUUCUGAAUCAAUCUAUCAUUCAUAUAUAUCUUGUCUUGCAUUUUAAGUUACUUUAGCUUUCAAAACAAAAAUCUAAAUUCAGUUUUCAUUUGCCUUUUCUUUAGGGUUCACAUAAAGGGAAAUAAAAUUUUCACUAUUUUAGAAGGAUUUUAACUUUAAAUCCACAAGGAAAAGGCUAAGUAAAAUCAGAAAUCAAGAGAGAAAGGGAAAGGAAAGUUGAGGCAAGGACAAAGGGAAAGGGAAAAGGGAAAAAGGGAAAGAGGAAAGGGGAAGUUGCGGCAAGGGAUGAAAAGGAAAGGGAAAGAUGUAAUUAAGUGUCCUAACAUAUUUAGGACACUCCUUUGUAGCUGGAACCUUGAUAAAUUAGGAUUAGGAAAGGUCAAAACCAAAGUAGGAAACCUUGGCUAACAUUCCUUCUUUGAGUAGGAAUCCUCAUUUCUCUAGGAAUCCUCAUUCUUCUAGGAAUCCUUCUUCAAUUAGAAAUCCUAGCAUCCUUAGGUCUUCAAUUUCGUCCAUACCCUUUGCUCCAAGCCUAUGCUAUCCAUUCCAUGCCCAAAACUGCUCCAAAAGGCUCUAAAAUGCACUUAUUUGCCACAUUAACCCUUUGGACCUACAAACACACGAAAAUAGCUUAAAAUACUAAAAAAACUAAGAACCAACAACAUAAAUGCAAGAAAACAAGCUAACUAGGUCGCAUAACUAUGCUCCUAUCAAGAUUGACUCCGAAAUGAAAAGACUUAUUUUAUUACUAUCGAGGGGAUAUUAAUCACAUAACAGAGUGCGGAUUACACUAAUAAACUUAGCACUAGUGAUAACUAGGCAUUCUUUGAGUAUGGAGAUGGUGACAAAUCUUUGGAGCAUGUCCUUUGGAAAAUUUGAUGACCAAAAAUUGAUGUAGUGAUGUCUAAAAAUGCUGCAAGGUUUUCUUCUUGCGAAAAUUUAAGCGUUCUUGUACCCUGUGGUGCACAGACCAGCCCUGCCCAUAGUCCAUCAUUGUCUUCUGGUAAUGGAGAUACAAUAACUACGGGAGUUAUAUAUACUUUAGCCCAACAUGUAUUAGACUGCAAUGUUCGAGAUCUCGCAUUGCCCGAAAGUGUAUGUAGACAUCAAAAUUUCGUUGAAAUAAAUGUUCACCAACACAUUAAAUUUUCAAUGUGCCAGGGCAUACAUGACAUGUGACUCAACACUGAUAGGAGCAUAUUUAUGCGACUUUGUUGUCUUAUUUCUUUGCAUUUACUUAGUUAAUUUCCAUUUAUUUUGGUAAUUUAUGUUAUUUUCGUAUUAUUUAAGUCCAGUUGGUAAAUAUGACAAUAAAUAGCUAAAUGGAGCAAUUUGGAUUAGUUUUGGACUUGGAUUGGAUAGCAUGCAUGGAUAGCAUAUGGCUGAACGUUUUUGGUGUUUAAAUGGUGCUAAACAUGGGCAAAAAUCUGGAGAAAUUAAAGUUGAGACUUGGAAGGCAAGCAAUAACACUAGAAAGAGGAAUCCUAAUUGGAAAGGAACAUUAUCUUAUCUUAUCUUAUCUUAUCCAAUAUUAUCUUAUCUUAUCUCCAGCUGCAAGGAGGAAUCCUUAUCACAUUUCAACACUUCCUAUUUGAUUCUAGGAGUCCUUAAAUAAUUCAAACAACCUAAUAUUUUUCCUCCUGGGAUUCAGUUGUGCCUUUACCCUAUAUACACACAUUAUUGCAGCAAAUAAGAAGAGGGGGGGGGGGAAGUGUGCUGUAACCUGCAAUCAUCCAUUGAAGUCGCUGGAGUUUUCUAGGUUCUUUCUCUCUUUAUUUUAAGUUUCAAUGUUUAUUUUAGAUUUUUUUUCAAUUAUGAUGAACAUGUGUAACUAAGUUUCUUUUUAGCAAGAGGUGAAUUCAAAAUUGUUGACCCUAAUCUUACCAAGACAUAAAGGUAUUCAAUCCAGAAUGGGCACAUAAAUUGUUCAGGAAGUGAAUAAAGAAGAAAUAUACACAUUCAUUAGUCUUAGGCUUAACCCCAAAACGAUUCAAGACCUGAACUGAAAGAGACUCUCCAAAAAAAGCUUUCUGACUCGGCAAGUUUAUAUAAAUUGAUUACAUCCAGUUAUUGUUUCAUAAAACAUGAAUGUGAUUUACUUAUCUGCUUUAUAGAAAACUUAUUCUUGUAUGUUUAUUAAGGGUGCACACUUAGUUUGCAUGUAGGGAUUUGAUGCUAGAAUAUAAGGGAAUUUCACCUAAUCGUUAUGAACUUAUAUUUGCAAGUGGUAAAAGUUACUAGUCAUGAUUGAGUUACGUAAAUUCCUGGCAAGAGUAUCAUGUUUUCAUAGUUAUGAAUGCUUUGUCAAUGCUUAUGAUUUUCACAAAAUUUAAUGAUCUUUGAGAUGUAUCUCUAUCAUGCUUUUCAUAGUUAGGAAACUUGAGAAGAAUAAUUUGGUUGCAUCGUUGAGUCCAAUUCAAUAAACCUAGGAAAAUCUGAGAGUUCAUUAGUGAUGUUCACAAUUAAUUUGGGGCAUUGUCAUUCAUGGUUUAUAGGAAGAAUAACUAGAAAUCGAUUUGUAUGCAUAUGAUUCAUGUGUGGAGAAAAAUACUUUAACUAUCCUUUCAUCCAUAUUUCACUCACAACUUAAUUUACUUGUUGCCUUUACUUAAUGUAUGCCCACAAAGCCACUCAUUUGAUGUAAUAGCUUUUGGAAUACUUAAUGUAUUAAACUAUUAAAUGUUUAAUGAAGGGCAAAGCUUAUUGUUA